rnacentral:lncRNA from 1 species
CCAGAACCGUCUCUGUUAUGUUAGCCCUCAAACCUGUGGGUUAAAAAAUGAGUGGCAGGAGAGACGGGCGUAUUUUAUAGAGUGUGAGCAGUAUACCUGUCCUUCACCAAACAGACUAGAUUCCAAGUGAUCUAUGUAUGGUUUAUGAAAAUAGUAUUUUUAAGUCUUUUUUGCUCCAGUGCAGUUGGAAACUGUACAAAAGUCACUGGCUUCUUUGUUGAUGAAGCACUCACUAAAAGCCCAUUUGAAAAUGCCUCAAAAGAAUAGAAAAUUAUGAGUUUUAACUAUUUAGUACCUGUAAAACAUCUCAA